rnacentral:rRNA from 1 species
AUGCGCAUCUUGAAACAACAACACCAAAAUGGUCGGCCGUGGCUAUGUCUUGGUGACUUCAAUGAAGUCCUCACAAGCAGUGAGAAGCUAGGAGGUGCUGAUCGUCCGCAACACUAUCUGGAUGAUUUUCGGCAAGCACUGGACGCCUGUGAGCUGAGGGAUAUAGGGUUUGAAGGCGAUAUGUAUACCUGGAGAAAUCACAGCAGCUGUGAGAGGCUGGAUCGGGCCACUGCAAACAAUGAAUGGUGUGGUGCUUUUCCAAACCAUAUAGUUGUGAACGGUGAACCAAGACACUCGGAUCACAGACCUGUGGUCGUGCACCUAGAUGGCAAGGACCGAAGUUGGAAGAGGAGUGAUUGCAGUUUCAGAUUUGAAGCUCGUUGGUUGCGGGAGGAGGGGUGCGAAGAGAUCAUACGGAAUGCGUGGGAUAAGAGCAGUGUGGAAGGGGGUAGAAAUGUCAGAAGUGGCUUGCAGAGUGUAGCUAGGGAUAUGAGUAAGUGGAGUAGAGAAGUAGUGGGAGAGCUUGAGUGCAUUACACGUUACUUAUAG